AGUGAACGCUGGCGGUAGGCCUAACACAUGCAAGUCGAACGGCAGCACAGUAAGAGCUUGCUCUUACGGGUGGCGAGUGGCGUACGUGUGAGGAAUACAUCGGAAUCUACUUUUUCGUGGGGGAUAACGUAGGGAAACUUACGCUAAUACAGCAUACGACCUACGGGGGAAAGCAGUGGAUCUUCGGACCUUGCGCGAUUGAAUGAGCCGAUGUCGGAUUAGCUAGUUGGCGGGGUAAAGGCCCACCAAGGCGACGAUCCGUAGCUGGUCUGAGAGGAUGAUCAGCCACACUGGAACUGAGACACGGUCAAGACUCCUACGGGAGGCAGCAGUGGGGAAUAUUGGACAAUGGGCGCAAGCCUGAUCCAGCCAUACCGAGUGGGUGACGAAGGCCUUCGGGUUGUAAAGCCCUUUUGUUGGGAAAGAAAAGCAGCAGGUUAAUACCACGCUGUUCUGACGGUACCCAAAGAAUAAGCACCGGCUAACUUCGUG
rnacentral:rRNA from 1 species